rnacentral:rRNA from 1 species
ACGGCCGUACCAUGCUGAAUAUACCGGUUCUCGUUAAAUCACCGAAGUCAAGCAUCAUUGGGCGCGGUCAGUACUUGGGUGGGUGACCACCUGGGAACACCGCGUGCCGUU